rnacentral:rRNA from 1 species
GACGAACGCUGGCGGCGUGCUUAACACAUGCAAGUCGAACGGUGAAGGGACCAGCUUGCUGGUUCUGGAUGAGUGGCGAACGGGUGAGUAACACGUGAGUAACCUGCCCCCUUCUUCUGGAUAACCGCAUGAAAGUGUGGCUAAUACGGGAUAUUCUGGGUCUGCCGCAUGGCGGGCCCGGGAAAGAUAUUGCUUCGGUGGGGGAUGGGCUCGCGGCCUAUCAGCUUGUUGGUGGGGUGAUGGCCUACCAAGGCGGGGACGCGUAGCCGGCCUGAGAGGGGGGACGGUGACACUGGGACUGGGACCAGGCCCAGACUGGUACGGGAGGCAGCAGUGGGGAAGAGUGCACAAUGGGCGCAAGCCUGAUGCAGCGACGCCGCGUGAGGGAUGGAGGCCUUCGGGGUGUAAGCCUCUUUCGCCAGUGAAGCAGGCCUGCUCCUUGUGGGUGGGUUGACGGUAGCUGGAUAAGAAGCGCCGGCUAACUACGUG